CGGGAUCCUCAUAGACUCGAUGAAGGACACCGGCGCCAGGGCCUCCUCCGCCUCUUCUGGUACUCGUCCGCUGACGUCACUGAAGAGCUGCCGAAUCGGUGAAGCGUCUUCUACUAGUCGGCCGAUGUCCCCUUGAAGGAGGGAUCGGAUACUAGCAAGUUUGGCUCGGACGUCAUCAGGAACGGAGCUCAAGGCAACUUGGCGAGAAGCAACUUCUUCAUCGUCGGAAAGGGCGACCGCAAAAGAAAAGAGGCUGUUGUCGGGGGUGUCUUGUUCCUGGAGAUAAUAAAAAGGAAGAAUAAAUCGGCAGGGAGUAAAAGCAAAUCGGCUGAGUAAAAGCCGGAACAUAACUUACCGCUUUGAAGCGAAUUUCUUCAUGUUGCACUUGGGAAGCCGUCACGCCUUGCUCAGGGGCC
rnacentral:lncRNA from 1 species